rnacentral:rRNA from 1 species
CCCUUAGAUGUUCUGGGCCGCACGCGCGCUACACUGAUGCAUUCAACGAGUUUCUUCCUGGUCCGAGAGGAAUGGGUAACCUUUUGAAAGUGCAUCGUGAUAGGGAUAGACUAUUGCAAUUAUUGGUCUUCAACGAGGAAUUCCUAGUAGACGUAGUUCAUCAGACUGCAUCGAUUACGUCCCUGCCCUUUGUACACACCGCCCGUCGCUCCUACCGAUUGAAUGCUCAGGUGAGCCAUUCGGACUAUCAUCAUGCUGGUUUCCAGUUUUGAUGAAGGAAAGUCUUGCGAACCUUAUCAUUUAGAGGAAGGAGAAGUCGUAACA